UUCCCCCAUCCUCCUCCCUUCGUGCGCCGCCACCCAUCUCUCUGCAUACCGACACCCCUCCCCUCCCUGCUUCAGACAAUUCACCACGGAUCCUCACCAAAUUCCGUCGAUCUCCCAAGCCGCAGACGCAACCCGCCAUGGCCGCCGCGUUUGAUCUGGAGAGCAAGACGUCGAUUUUGAGCUAGCCGUCGAGCGCUGCACCAACGCUAGAGUUGUCGGGCCAGCCACGGUGGAGUUCUUCUCCGACCUCGCCGCAGACGCAACCCGCGGCGUCUCCGAUCUCGGCUAGAUCGGAUCCGCCAGCAAGUUCUCUUCUCACCAGCGGCAGGUCUUCCGCGUCAGCGACCACGCGGGGCUCACCGUAGAUGGCCGCGUCCUCUCCGGAUUCCUCUGCAACGAGUACAUCAACCACUCCUUCAUCUACUACGCCCCUCCUCGUCUCCAGGCUCGCGCCCCACCUCGCAGAUAAGGUUGCAAGUUGAAGGGGAAGUGAGCUCCUAUGGUGGUGACUCCAGGUCAGUGCAUUCGUGCCUCUUCUCAUCACUGACUAGAGCCAGAUUUUUGUGUCAAGUUACUCCAUGUUCUGUCAUAUAAUUGUGUUUGUGGACAGCGCGCUACGGUCUGAUGAACGGAGCCAAUGACAAGGGCCUGAGGUGAAGGACCUGUGAGCACCAAGGUUCUCAUUGUCAUCGCACGCCUAAGGGGUCUGCUCGACCAGAUCCUCUCCAUCUUGAACUUCCUCACCGACGCUGGCAGGAGCGCAGGGCGGAGGUGGCACCAGCCUCAAGGCUUGCUGAUCCCAUUUGCAUAUGUUGCUACAGCACAACAACCACUGAUGUUAUUAGGAGUACCAACUGCACAAGCCCCACGUGAUAAUGAGUACCCUAUGCUAUUGAACAAGGCAGAAGAUUGAUGAGGUUUGCUCACUUAUGAAAAUGCUAGCAGGUAAAGGUUAUGUGAACAAUACCUGGGAGAUGUUACAAACUUGCAUCACUUGUAGUACUUCUUUGCUAUGUAACGUGUCAUGUGAAACUGUGAACUUGGCUGUCAUGUUCAUGGUGUUGUGUAAUUCAGAGAGAUUAUAAGUUAGAUGUUAUCUGCUAUUUCAUCUGUAUAUAUCUGUUAAAAGGAAGUGCAAGAAAAAUAUUGUUAUCUUAUGUUU